rnacentral:rRNA from 1 species
CCUACCUACAGGGGGCAGCAGUGAGGAAUAUUGGUCAAUGGGCGGGAGCCUGAACCAGCCAAGUCGCGUGAGGGAAGACGGUCCUAUGGAUUGUAAACCUCUUUUGUCGGGGAGCAAAGAGAUCACGUGAGGUCAAAAGCGAGAGUACCCGAAGAGAAAGCAUCGGCUAACUCCGUGCCAGCAGACGCGGUAAUACGGAGGAUGCGAGCGUUAUCCGAAUUUAUUGGGUUUAAAGGGUGCGUAGGCGGGACGGUAAGUCAGCGGGAAA